rnacentral:rRNA from 1 species
CCUACGGGUUGCAGCAGUGGGGAAUAUUGCACAAUGGGCGAAAGCCUGAUGCAGCAACGCCGCGUGAGCGAUGAAGGCCUUCGGGUCGUAAAGCUCUGUCCUCAAGGAAGAUAAUGACGGUACUUGAGGAGGAAGCCCCGGCUAACUACGUGCCAGCAGCCGCGGUAAUACGUAGGGGGCUAGCGUUAUCCGGAAUUACUGGGCGUAAAGGGUGCGUAGGUGGUUUCUUAAGUCAGAGGUGAAAGGCUACGGCUCAACCGUAGUAAGCCUUUGAAACUGGGAAACUUGAGUGCAGGAGAGGAGAGUGGAAUUCCUAGUGUAGCGGUGAAAUGCGUAGAUAUUAGGAGGAACACCAGUUGCGAAGGCGGCUCUCUGGACUGUAACUGACACUGAGGCACGAAAGCGUGGGGAGCAAACAGGAUUAGAUACCCUAGUAGUC